rnacentral:misc_RNA from 1 species
GAAGUAAAAGUCGUAACAAGGUCUCCGUUGGUGAACCAGCGGAGGGAUCAUUACAGAGUUACUACUCCAAACCCAUUGUGAACCUUACCUAUGUUCUGUUGCCUCGGCGGCGUGGUCAGCGCCCCCUCUGAAAAGAGGACGAUGCCCUCCCGCCGGCAGCACCAAACUCUUUGAAUUUUACAGCGGAUUACAGUUCUGAUUUGAAAACAAAAAACAAGUUAAAACUUUCAACAACGGAUCUCUUGGUUCUGGCAUCGAUGAAGAACGCAGCGAAAUGCGAUAAGUAAUGUGAAUUGCAGAAUUCAGUGAAUCAUCGAAUCUUUGAACGCACAUUGCGCCCGGCAGUAAUCUGCCGGGCAUGCCUGUCCGAGCGUCAUUUCAACCCUCGAACCUCCGUUUCCUCAGGGAAGCUCAGGGUCGGUGUUGGGGCUCUACGGCGAGUCUUCGCGACCCUCCGUAGGCCCUGAAAUACAGUGGCGGUCCCGCCGCGGUUGCCUUCUGCGUAGUAAGUCUCUUUUGCAAGCUCGCAUUGGGUCCCGGCGGAGGCCUGCCGUCAAACCACCUAUAACUCCAGAUGGUUUGACCUCGGAUCAGGUAGGGUUACCCGCUGAACUUAAGCAUAUCAAUAAGCGGAGGAA